CACGUAGGGCGCAAGCGUUGUCCGGAAUUAUUGGGCGUAAAGAGCUCGUAGGCGGUCUGUUGCGUCCGCUGUGAAAUCUCGGGGCUUAAUCCCGAGCCUGCAGUGGAUACGGGCAGACUAGAGGUAGGUAGGGGAGAAUGGAAUUCCCGGUGUAGCGGUGAAAUGCGCAGAUAUCGGGAGGAACACCGGUGGCGAAGGCGGUUCUCUGGGCCUUACCUGACGCUGAGGAGCGAAAGCGUGGGGAGCGAACAGG
rnacentral:rRNA from 1 species